rnacentral:piRNA from 1 species
GGAGAUUUCAUGCCAGAUGCCUUCUUU